rnacentral:tRNA from 1 species
GCCUAGUUAGCUUGGAAGGUAGAGCGACUGCCUUGUAAGCAGUAUGUUGCGGGUUCGAUUCUCACCCGGGGAA